rnacentral:lncRNA from 1 species
CCGACAUCAACGCAAAAGCAUUAAGCCCGACUCCGGAGUGGCACUCGUGGGCGCUACCCAACCGAGUAUGCAAGCGUGUCUCUGUCGAGCUCAAUCAGGCUCUCACAGGCUAUAGUCAAGUAAACAGGGUCUAACAACCAAACUCACGUGCCCCAGCACAAUCUGAUGCAAAAACAGCAUUCCGGGUCCACCGUCAACCUCAACGGCACCCAACAAUCCGGAACAGCCUAAUACUGCUAUAAAAAUAAGCUCAGCAUCUCAGCACGAGCGUGAAUGCAUUCUACACUAAUCAGGGUAUCCACUGCCCACAAACUGCGGUGAUACAAACAAACUACGGCUCCUAAAGCUAAAUCUAUUAGUUUUAACAUAUGACGGUAUAGAAUCACUACUUUUCUCCUAU